AUUGAACGCUGGCGGCAGGCUUAACACAUGCAAGUCGAGCGAGCGGCGGACGGGUGAGUAAUGUCUGGGAAACUGCCUGAUGGAGGGGGAUAACUACUGGAAACGGUAGAUAAUACCGCAUACCAUCAGAUGUGCCCAGAUGGGAUUAGCUAGUAGGUGGGGUAAUGGCUCACCUAGGCGACGAUCCCUAGCUGGUCUGAGAGGAUGACCAUCUACACUGGAAUCGAGACACGUUCCAGCCUCCUACGGGAGGCAGAAGUGGGGAAUAUUGCACAAUUGGCGCAAGCCUGAUGCAUCCAGGCCGCGUGUGUGAAGAAGGCCUUCGGGUUGUAAAGCACUUUCAGCGAGGAGGCGUUACUCGCAGAAGAAGCACCGGCUAACUCCGUGCCAGCCGCCGCGGUAAUAC
rnacentral:rRNA from 1 species